rnacentral:lncRNA from 1 species
GAUGACAACGCUUGUUCAGAUUUGUUUUUCCAAAGCUCCGAUCGAGUUUCGUUUCAGAUCUUAAUUUCCUCCGAAAUGUUGAUAGAAUUGGUUUGUUGCCAAUAUCAGUAUUUGAAAUGUUGAUAGAAUUGGUUUGUUCCAAAUUCAGGACAUAAUAUAACUACUUUAUUACGUACCAGUAAUGUCUCAUUAUGAAAUUUUAAAAAAUUGAAUAAUCACCAAACUCAAAUUCCGUAAAAUAAUAAUUGCUGAAAAUUCGGGGGUGUACUUCAGAUCUUCAGCAGAACACAGUACUCCAAUUCAACAGCAUUCGUAGCUGAAAAACAACUAUGCCUGCAAGAACACAGUAGGGAAUAAACUCCAAUGGAAGCCCCCAUGUUCUGUGUUACACAAUCAUUGCAAUCCCCUUUGUUUAACCCAGCAAGACAAAUUUCUCUCUCCAAUGACGAGUGACCAAUCUGCCUUUCACACAUUCCCUUCACCACAUGGGCCAUGUCUCCCCAAGCUCUCAAUAAUUCCAAGAGCAUUUCCAGCCUAUGUCCAUGCCUCCUCCCAACCUUUACACUCUCAUACCAAGCUGUUCUUGUGCUAUCCCCAG